rnacentral:rRNA from 1 species
AUGGCGAUCGCCGCGGAUUCCACCGCCGAGCAAGCCCCGAACCCUGCUCCCCACGAGCCUUCGGACGAGCCCCGCAAGGCUCCCGACCAGCCCGACCGUGGCGAGGACAAUGGGGUCGACUUCGACGAGGAGGAGGACGAUCCAGAGGAGCUGGACAGGCCAGCGGCGUACAAGGAGAAGGUGAAGGCCGUCUUCCGUCGCCUGCACGCCGAGCCCGUCCGCAUCCGCGUCCACGACGUCAUCAUCAGGGGCAAUUUCAAGACCCGCGGCUCCCUCAUCGAGGCGGAGGUCGGCGACCUGCUCCGCUCUGCCGGUACCGUGCAGGGCCUGGUGCGCGCCUCCAGCCAUGCCAACGCGCUGCUGCGCCGUCUCGACGUGUUCGACUCCGUCUCCAUCACCCUCGACGCCGGUCCGCCGGGGUUCCCCGGUACUGCGAACGUCACCAUCCAAGUCGUGGAGGCGGCCAGACCCUACAAUCGUGGCAUCUUCUUCUUCCCCAAGAAAGAGGUAAUAUCAUGGCCAGUUGAAGGAUGGUUCAUGUUGAAGAACCUAUUUGGUUACGGGGACAUGUGGGAUGUUUCAGGGGAAUAUGGUUGGGAUCAGUCAUCAAAGAUAGACAUUGGAGUGUACCUGCCAAGAUUGAAAUCAAUACCAACACCUUUGACGGCUCGGGCAUCAAUCCUUUCCGAAGAUUGGCUGAAGUUUUCAUCAUACAAGGAGCGUCUUCUUGGCCUUAAGUUUGGUUUGCUUUCAACCUGGCACCAUAACUUGUCUUAUGAUCUGGCAUGGCGUACCUUAACUGAUCCCUCACAAAUGGCAUCAGAAUCCAUAAGGAGGCAGCUAGGCCACAAUCUGCUUUCUGCACUGAGUUAUGCAUAUAAAAUAGAUAAAAGAGAUUCAGAAUUCCGGCCAACAAAAGGAUAUGCAUUUGUCUCAACUUCUCAAGUUGGUGGUCUAUGGAAAAAUGGAUUACGAUUCUUCCGCCAGGGGUUUGAUGUUCGCGGCGCUGUUCCAUUCGGUUUUUGCAAUGCUGCCCUUAAUGUUGGCAUAUCAGCAGGGGUGAUUCUACCUUUGAGCAGAGGAUUUAUGGAAUUGCCUUCACCUGUCCCUGAUAGAUUUUACCUAGGAGGUCUUUCUUCCCCUGUAUGCAGCCUUGGUGUGAUAUCAUCUCUGUUGGGUUUCAAAACAAGAGGAGUUGGCCCAUCCGAACCACAGAGAUCUGUCCCAGGCGAGUCAGUUACGGUCGACGCUGCUGCCUCUACAGGGAGGGAUUACUUGGGAGGCGAUCUUGCUGUUUCUGCAUUUGCUGAUCUAUCCUUUGAUUUGCCCCUAAAGCUGUUCAGAGAUAAUGGAAUUCAUGGUCAUGCAUUUCUUUGUGCUGGAAAUCUUGCCAAGUUGUCUGAGGGUGAGUUUAAGAAUUUCUCAUUCCCUGAGUUUCGGCGCACAUUCAGAAGCUCUGCUGGUGUUGGCAUUGUCUUUCCAACCUCACUUUUCCGGAUGGAGUUAAAUUACUGCCAUAUCUUGAAGAAACAUGAACAUGAUCAUGGAAAGAGUGGAAUUCAGUUCAGCUUCUCCUUGGAGUAG